CUCUAAAUUCUUCUUGUGGGGAUUGGAAUUGGAAGAGUGAGAGAAUCAGUCAAGUGAAGGCAGGUGAUACUGCAAAAAGGCCACGUAGGGUGGAGGGUACGGUGGCCCAUGAGGGCCACGUGUGAAUUACCGGAAUGAAGCCAGGAGGAUGGAAGAGGAACCCAGGAAGAAAUGGAAACACUAUCCGAAGGAAGAGGCUGAUCUUUGGGCUUUCCAAAAGCUACAGUUCUGGGACCUGGGGGAAAAUUGGAGUGCCUGGCUUCCAAGCAGGCAUAAUGGCUCUCUGCAAGACCAAGUAUGUACAAACAUCCCUUGAGCAGCCCUGCAAGCCUGAUGCUUCACCAAUGGGCUCCCGGGCUUCAUAACUGCUGAAAAUCAUGGUGUUGAUUAUCAGCACAAUGACGGUGCCAGGUGCUGCGGAAUCAGCUUGGAUUUUGAUUUUACUUCCUUUAUGUGAAGCCAGGAGGGAGCUUAGCGCCCAGCACUCCGUGCCCCACCCCCACCACAUCGCAGCCUCCCGAAGUCACCAGGAAAAGCGGGGGCUUUCAGUGGCAGCCAGAAGGAAUUCAGAAACAUCACAUUUCAUUUCGGGACGAAUUGGAUCAGCACCAGUUUGGUGUUGAGGCCAUGAGAUUGUGGCAUUUUUAUCCCAAAUUUAUCCUCUCUUGGUCUCUCAGUGUGUGUGUCUGUAGGAAGUGUAGAAUUAUGCUAUGAAGAAAGCAUCCCACACUCAUUCAAUUGCAUCGUCCCACAUUCUGGAUCGGGAGACACAGACUCAAGUCAACCUGCAGCUGCCUAAUUUUGCAGGGAAGCAGCUAUCCUGAUGUUUGCAGGUUGGAGGCCUCCAAGUGACACACAUCAGGAAGAAAUGGGCUCUCCCAUCCCAGAUGAGCUGAAACACAAACGCUGUUCUGAGGGAACAGUUAGGGAUCCUAUCUUUCUGAGCCCUUUUCGAUGCAAGCAACCAUUGAUGAAGAAGCAUUUAUGCUUGAUACCUAUUGCAGGUGUUCUUCGGUGUGGAGGUGUUGUCAAUGAAAGAUUCAAAAGUGAUUCAAUUAUCAGAAGACCCUAUUUGUUUGCUUUUGACCGGCUUUUGUUUGCUCUGUCACUCAGGGAGAAUAUAAACAACUUUGGCGAGGUAAGAUGGAAAAACAUUAGCCCGUAUGGAAAUGUUCGAUGGACAAGUGAGGGGACUUGGCAGAAGUUUGGCUUAGAAGAUGAAUGAAUAGAGCCCCGGGCAGAAUGCAAUAGUGGCAAUAGGCAUGCAUUCUUUGCAGAUGUGCACUGAAGGCUACAGGCUACUGUGUCUUUUUCUUCUGGCUUCUCUCUUGAGCUUCUGACACUGCACAGCAAGUGGGUCGGUGCUCUGAGAGGCUUGAAAAAUGCAAAAGUUUACCGUCAACUGGUGGGAAUACGUGCAACACAUGCAUAAGGCAGAGAGCAUCAGUGGUGAAAUGCAGCCUGCAGUUUCUCUCCGACAGUUAUCCAGAUAGUUCAUCUCAAAAUAAUGAUUUUGCCAUCAACACACAGAUAUUGCAGGCAAAAGCCAUCACAAUUCAAAAGCUGUAACAAGAAUGGCUUAUUCUUUUAAGGGUUCCUCGUCCCACUGAGGUGCUCUAAGAUCUGGGACUGGCUUAUACGUUUAUCUUUUUUGCCGAACAAUUCAGGCUCCAGAGGGGAUUUUUCUUUUUGGUCUGAAGGGUGAAACUUGUCUGGUCAGCAGCUUUUGCAAACUACAGCUGCUCAGUUGAGCUCAUUCCUCUGAGGUCUCUGUGCUGCCCCAAAAUGGCUCUUCUGGGGCCUGAUGGAAAAUCUGAGCUGAGAGCUUUAAGUCGACACAAUGCCCCAGAGAGACAUCCGAUCCUCAGGGCGGCGCACCAGCCACCUGGACCCCUUACUCUGCCUGCGGUCCCACUCCUGGCCUUUGCUCUGGGAUUCCUGCUCUCUGGGAUGCCUGGACUUGUCUCCCUCUGUCCCCAGGAUAGGAAGCGUCAUUUUUGCCGGGGGCCCAGGGCUGCUCGUUGUGUUUUCAGGGGUUCAAGUCUCCUCUCUACCGCUUCCAUACUUCCAUACUACCGCUUCCCUGUAGUAUGAUCUUAGGCAAAUUAUUUAACCCCC